GCCUGCUUGGUGGAAUCGGUAGACACAACAGACUUAAAAUCUGUCGCCUGUAUGGGCGUGCCAGUUCGAGUCUGGCAGUAGGCACCA
rnacentral:tRNA from 1 species